UUUAACUGAGCGUUCAGUUACUUGACGUAGACCCGAAACCGGGCGACCUACCCAUGAGCAGGAUGAAGCGAAAGUAAAAUUUCGUGGAGGUCCGAACCCACGAGCGUUGAAAAGCUCGGGGAUGACUUGUGGGUAGCGGUGAAAUUCCAAUCGAGCCCGGAGAUAGCUGGUUCUCCCCGAAAUAGCUUUAGGGCUAGCCUCAAGGUGAGAGAUACGGAGGUAGAGCACUGAAUGUCCUAGGGGGUAUUGCACCUACCGAAGACUAUCAAACUCCGAAUGCCGUCAUCUUAUACUUGGGAGUCAGACUGUGGGUGAUAAGAUUCAUAGUCGAAAGGGCAACAGCCCAGAUCGUCAGCUAAGGUCCCUAAAUGUAAGUUAAGUGGUAAAGGAUGUGGGAUUGCACAGACAACCAGGAUGUUGGCUUAGAAGCAGCCACUCAUUCAAAGAGUGCGUAAUAGCUCACUGGUCGAGUGAUCCUGCGCCGAAGAUUUCCGGGGCUAAAACUUACUACCGAAGCUACGGCAUCAGUAAUGAUGGGUAGGGGAGCUUCCCAUACGGGUUGAAGCAUGACCGUAAGGACAUGUGGACAGUAUGGGAGUGAGAAUGUUGGCAUGAGUAGCGAGAUGUGGGUGGGAAUCCCACAGGCCGUAAACCCAAGGUUUCCAGGGGAAGGUUCGUCCACCCUGGGUUAGUCGGGACCUAAGCUGAGGCCGAAAGGCGUAGGUGAUGGACAACAGGUUGAUAUUCCUGUACUACCGAUAACCGUUUGAGAGAAGGGAUGACACAGUAGGAUAAGCUAAGCACACUGUUGGUUAUGUGUGCCCAAGCAUUGAGGCAGUCAAAGUAGGCAAAUCCGCUUUGAUAAUGCUGGGAUGUGAUGGGGAGCGAAAUUUAGUAGCGAAGUAGCUGAUUUCACACUGUCAAGAAAAGUCUCUAUCGAGGUUAAAGGUACCCGUACCGCAAACCGACACAGGUGGGUGAGGAGAGUAUCCUAAGGCCA
rnacentral:rRNA from 1 species